rnacentral:rRNA from 1 species
AUUGAACGCUGGCGGCAUGCUUUACACAUGCAAGUCGAACGGCAGCGCGGGCUUCGGCCUGGCGGCGAGUGGCGAACGGGUGAGUAAUGCAUCGGAACGUGCCCAGUAGUGGGGGAUAGCCCGGCGAAAGCCGGAUUAAUACCGCAUACGACCUGAGGGUGAAAGCGGGGGACCGAAAGGCCUCGCGCUAUUGGAGCGGCCGAUGUCGGAUUAGCUAGUUGGUGGGGUAAAGGCUUACCAAGGCGACGAUCCGUAGCUGGUCUGAGAGGACGACCAGCCACACUGGGACUGAGACACGGCCCAGACUCCUACGGGAGGCAGCAGUGGGGAAUUUUGGACAAAGGGGGCAACCCUGAUCCAGCCAUGCCGCGUGCGGGAAGAAGGCCUUCGGGUUGUAAACCGCUUUUGUUCGGGAAGAAAUCCUCUGGGCUAAUACCCCGGAGGGAUGACGGUACCGGAAGAAUAAGCACCGGCUAACUACGUG